rnacentral:rRNA from 1 species
UACGUAGGGUGCAAGCGUUAAUCGGAAUUACUGGGCGUAAAGCGUGCGCAGGCGGUGAUGUAAGACAGAUGUGAAAUCCCCGGGCUCAACCUGGGAACUGCAUUUGUGACUGCAUCGCUGGAGUGCGGCAGAGGGGGAUGGAAUUCCGCGUGUAGCAGUGAAAUGCGUAGAGAUGCGGAGGAACACCGAUGGCGAAGGCAGCCCCCUGGGCCAACACUGACGCUCAGGCACGAAAGCGUGGGGAGCAAACAGG